rnacentral:rRNA from 1 species
CCUACGGGGGGCUGCAGUGGGGAAUAUUGGACAAUGGGGGCAACCCUGAUCCAGCCAUGCCGCGUGUGUGAAGAAGGCCCUCGGGUUGUAAAGCACUUUCAGUGAGGAAGAACGCCUGGUGGUUAAUACCCAUCAGGAAAGACAUCACUCACAGAAGAAGCACCGGCUAACUCCGUGCCAGCAGCCGCGGUAAUACGGAGGGUGCGAGCGUUAAUCGGAAUUACUGGGCGUAAAGGGCGCGUAGGUGGCUUAAUAAGCCGGUUGUGAAAGCCCCGGGCUCAACCUGGGAACGGCAUCUGGAACUGUCAAGCUAGAGUGCAGGAGAGGAAGGUAGAAUUCCCGGUGUAGCGGUGAAAUGCGUAGAUAUGUGGAGGAAUACCAGUGGCGAAGGCAGCCUUCUGGACUGAAACUGACGCUGAGGUGCGAAAGCGUGGGUAGCAAACAGGAUUAGAUACCCCAGUAGUC